rnacentral:lncRNA from 1 species
CAGUGGGACUCAGUUUAGAUGAUCCCAAUUUUGUUGGCAACAUCCAAAGCGUCAUAGUUGGGAGCCAGUUGAACAUAUGCCUUCUUUUCUCCUUCAGAGUGAGGCCUGAUCAGAGUGUUGACCUUGGCCAUGUCAAUGUCAUAGAGCUUCUUCACAUCCUGUUUGAUCUGGUGCUUGUUGGCCUUGACAUCCACAAUCAACACAAGUGUGUUGUUGUCUUCUAUUUUCUUCAUGGCUGACUCAGCAGUCAGGGGGAACUUGAUGAUGGCGUAGUGGUCAACCUUGUUUCUCCUCAGGGAUCUCUUUCCAGGAUACUUGGGCUGCCUUCAGAGACACAGUGUCUUGGGCUGUUGCAAUGUAGGUGAUUUGUGGAUCUUCUUUUUUUUAUGACUGUGGAUGCCUUUCAGCACCACUUUCUUGGCCUUCGGAGCCUUUGCUUUGGCUUCGGCUUUGGGAGGGGCAGGGGCUUCCUUUUUCACCUUCCAAGCCAUCUUUGUGAAAGGG